GGGGAGUCUUGCGCAAUGGACGAAAGUCUGACGCAGCCACGCCGCGUGAGUGAAGAAGGCCUUCGGGUUGUAAAGCUCUGUCGGAGGGGACGAAAAUGCAAACGGUUAAUAGCCGUAUGUACUGACGGUACCCUCAAAGGAAGCACCGGCUAACUUCGUGCCAGCAGCCGCGGUAAUACGAAGGGUGCAAGCGUUGCUCGGAAUUAUUGGGCGUAAAGGGUAGGUAGGUGGUUUCAUUUGUCUGGGGUGAAAGCCUUUGGCUUAACCAAAGAAGUGCCCCGGAAACGGUGGAACUAGAGUGCUAGAGAGGGUCGUGGAAUUCCCGGUGUAGCGGUGAAAUGCGUAGAGAUCGGGAGGAACACCAGAGGCGAAGGCGACGACCUGGAUAGCAACUGACACUCAACUACGAAAGCGUGGGUAGCAAAC
rnacentral:rRNA from 1 species